GCGGACGUGGCGAAAUUGGUAUACGCACAAGACUUAAAAUCUUGCGCCCUUAUGGGCUUGCGGGUUCAAGUCCCGCCGUCCGCACCA
rnacentral:tRNA from 3 species